ensembl:snoRNA
AUCCUUAAGGGGUUCAUAACUGUGAUGGUUGGAUUUUCACACCAUUGUGUUAGAUAUACCUCCUUCGAACCCUGUUCAAUAACAUGGACACAUUAUGCCUGAUU